AGCAGCCGCGGUAAUUCCAGCUCCAAUAGCGUAUAUUAAAGUUGUUGCAGUUAAAAAGCUCGUAGUUGAAUUUCGGGAUCAAUAUGUCGGUCGUGCCUUCGGUACGUACUGGUAUCAUUGGUCUCUCCUUUCUGACGAACCAUGAUGUCAUUAAUUUGGUGUUAUGGGGAGUUAGGACUGUUACUUUGAAAAAAUUAGAGUGUUUAAAGCAGGCUUUAGCUUGAAUACAUUAGCAUGGAAUAAUGAAAUAGGACGUUCGAACCUAUUUUGUUGGUUUCUAGGAUCAACGUAAUGAUUAAUAGGGAUAGUUGGGGGCAUUAGUAUUCAAUUGUCAGAGGUGAAAUUCUUGGAUUUAUUGAAGACUAACUACUGCGAAAGCAUUUGCCAAGGAUGUUUUCAUUAAUCAAGAACGAAAGUUAGGGGAUCGAAGACGAUCAGAUACCGUCGUAGUCUUAACCAUAAACUAAUGCCGACUAGGGAUCGGAUGAUGUUAAUUUUUAAUGACUCAUU
rnacentral:rRNA from 1 species